CCCCUUAAAUGGAGGAUGCCCGGUCCGGGGUGGCUUUCCCAAACCGCGAUUGGAUCGGUGACCGUCAUAAGUAGUUUGAGAAUCGUUCUUAUAUUCUAUAUACUAAAAAGCUUUAGAAACGAUUGGACGUAUAACAUAAACAUACAAGAACACCAUAAAAUAAUCGUGCCGAACUACUUGUGUGAGGGAAAUGAGUCGAAGCAAAAUAUUCAAUUUCCUCCAGUUCUUAUUGAGAAACCAUGGUGAAAACUUCAUCCAAAAUUAUAAAUUCAAUAAGAAAAAUCAGUGAAUAAAUCAAUUAAUAAAUUCAGUACAAAUAAGAAAGAGGAAUAUUAUGAAUAUGAAUCCAAAUACAAUCUACUUCUACUGAUAAAACAAUUAUAAACAUCUCGAAAUUGGAUAUCAAAGACACAAAGAAUUUAGAGAAAGAAACUUAAGGAUACGUAAGAAUAAAAAUUGAAAUAGUUGAGAAGUAUAAAAAAGAUGCAGAAGAAUAUGCUUUAGGAUCUAUCACAGAUGGUGAAUACACAUUGGAGAUAAGAGUACAAAAUAUCUCACAAUUUCCAAAAUACAAAAAGGAAACACUUAUAGAAGUACAAGGUUAUAUUAAAACAUGCGGAGGUAACAGAAUUUACUUAUCAAUUCCAACAAAAGACAACAUUAAACACAUUUACAACGUACCUAAAAUGGAAAAACAACAGCUGCUAAGAGGAAACAAGACAAUUGAAAAACGAAAAAUUGAGGAUGAAAAAAAUUAUGAGCAAAGCCCAUCGAAAUUGAAAAAAAUUAUAUAAUAUUUUAGUCUUAAGAGUCAUUACAAGCAUAACGAAAUUAUGCUAAAAUUAAGAAAUUUUUAUUUUAGAUAAGGACAAUAUACAUUUCCUAAU